UAUGGGGGGACCAUCCUCCAAGGCUAAAUACUCCUGACUGACCGAUAGUGAACCAGUACCGUGAGGGAAAGGCGAAAAGAACCCCGGCGAGGGGAGUGAAAAAGAACCUGAAACCGUGUACGUACAAGCAGUGGGAGCCUCUUUUAUGGGGUGACUGCGUACCUUUUGUAUAAUGGGUCAGCGACUUAUAUUCUGUAGCAAGGUUAACCGUAUAGGGGAGCCGGAGGGAAACCGAGUCUUAACCGGGCGUUAAGUUGCAGGGUAUAGACCCGAAACCCGGUGAUCUAGCCAUGGGCAGGUUGAAGGUUGGGUAACACUAACUGGAGGACCGAACCGACUAAUGUUGAAAAAUUAGCGGAUGACCUGUGGCU
rnacentral:rRNA from 1 species